GCAUGAGGGAAUGAGGAAUUUGUAGAUGAACGGGAAAACUCAUGUCAAAGGCCUAGGUCAAAUACAGCAGAAGGGAUCUGAAAUUUUGUGCUUCCACAGAAUAGUAGCCCAUAGCUAUCAUGGAUUAUUUACAAAAAGCAGAACUUUGCAAAAACAUGCUGUGUCAUCUUUAGGAAUUUGUAUAUUCGAAACCCACUAAGGCAGUUUUUUGGGGUUUUUAUUACUCUAGCAACUGAACUUCUGGUCAUCGAAAUCAAAUUUGUGACUAGGAAAAUACAUGACCGUUGUGAAUGCUCAGAGAAUCAUUCUUUACGUGUCAAAGGUCAGCAUUUCAGUCUGUCCUGUAUUUAAGAAACCAUUCCUUGUCUGUCCUGAUCAGCUCCAAGCAAUUGGAGGGCAGCGAGGGGAAGUCCACCCCGGGCAUCCCAGGUAUUUAAACUUGAUAAAGCUUUUUCUUUUUUUAGGAAAAAAACCUAAACCUGAACAAAACCCCAGUCCCAUGCUAGAAGCAUGUAGAAAACCUCAUUUUCUCAAAUGGCCACAGAACAGAAAGAUUUUGCUGACGUUCCUCCAGCCCAGAAGAAAGAAGGUGCCACAAUUAAUGAAAGUCACAAGACAGAAAACCACCGUGUCGUUGGAAUGGAAGUAGAGGAUUUCUCUGCAGUUCCAUCCUCAGCAGCAAAAAAAAAAAAAGUGUUGUGACAAGACGAAGUGCAAAUAAUUAACAACAGAAGAUCAAAUGAAAGGAGUGGCUUCGCAAGACAUGACUAACGUUUACUCCAUUUCAGAAGAAUCCAAAUGGCGCUGUAGAAAGAGGAUGCCUUGCAUCGCCCCCAGAGUGCAACAGCAGACCCGGCGCGCAGCAGGCAGUGGCUUACCGCUGUGGCACAACAGGGCAACUUUCCCUUUCAAAGAAAGAGCUUCUUUCUUCUCAGUUCAACAGCUGCUGCACACAGGGUCUCCAACAUCUUAGCGGUUUGAUUGUUGUAGACAGAAAAAGCAAUACCAAAGCAUAAAACAUGGAACAACUUCAUGAAUGUUUUGCCAGCAGCUGAUACAACGGAAAGCGCAUCUCAAAACAGCGGGGCAGCGGAGUAAAACAAAAACCAUGGAGCCAGCACUGUCACGUCAUUUGGCACAUCCUUACACUUCCCUUAAUUCCGUUUCAGAUCUUGGAAGGGAAGGCCAAAGCUUCUUAUUUGCCAAUUAAGGUUUCACACGAUUCAAACACUGAACAAACAAAAGACAUCCCCAAACAGAGAAACCUGCCAGCCUUCGUGACCUUGCCAACAGAGUGAUGUCUCAGUUCAGUGCUUUCACAACACAGACAGUGAGAGAGCUCUGGACAGCCGCAUAUACAAACGUGUGCGCACACAAACACACGCACAUGUUUUUCUGCUGGUAUGGACACACUGCCACCGAUCCUCAGCCAAAAGUUACACUGUUUGAGUUAAGGACACUCCAAACACCCUAUAGACAGGGGUAAAAAAAAAAAAAAAAAAAAAAAAAAAAAAGACAUUAAAAUAACAGGCCUCUAUUUUAUGGUGUCAAAUGGGUAUUGGUAGUAAUUAAGGUUUUUUAACUUCUUCACCAAGUAGCAUUAUCUAAGAUAGUAUGGUGCCUGUAAUCUGUCCGGAGUCAAUGAAGAA
ensembl:lncRNA